rnacentral:rRNA from 1 species
AGUGAACGCUGGCGGUAGGCCUAACACAUGCAAGUCGAGCGGAAGCAUAGUUAGAGCUCGCUCUUACGGUUGGCGAGUGGCGGAUGGGUGAGGAAUACAUCGGAAUCUUCUUUUUCGUGGGGGAUUACGUAGGGAAACUUACGCUAAUACCGAAUAUGAUCUACGGGUUUAAGCAGGGGAUCUUCGCACCUUUCGCGAUAGAUUGAGCCGACGCCGGAUUAGCUAGUCGGCAUGGUAAAGGCCCACCAAGGCGACGAUCCGUAGCUGAUCUGAGAGGAUGAUCAGCCACACUUGAACUGAGACACGAUUCAGAAUGAAACGGGAGGCGGAAGAGGGGAAUAUUGUGCAAUAGGCGCAAGCCUGGACCAGCCAUACAGCGUGUGUGAUGAAGGGUUUCGGGUAGGAAAACCCUCUUGUUGGGGAAGAAGGUCAGUUUAUUAAUACCCCCAUGAUCUGGUGGUACCCAAACAGAAAGCACCGGCUAACUCCGUG